CUUCGCGACAUGACAGUUUCUGAUGGUCGAGAGUUGGAUGAAGGUCCGUUUGUUUAAGAUUUUGUUCAGUGGCAGUCCAACAACACGUCUACAUGCUAUUCUUCUGAAGCUGGAUGUGUUACGACCUUCGUAGCACUUAGGGCGCCUGCCGGUGAACGAGGAAUGUUUGCGAAAUUUUGCGAAGCUACGCAGGCGACGGGCGGGCCCCGCACUGGGUACGGAUGGAGCACUGGAAGUCCAGCCAUGAAAUACCAACAGGAUAGCUUUUCGAGAUUUUUCUUUUUAACAAAUUCUAUUAAACAGAACAAAUGAUGCGGAUACAUGCCGCAUAAUCCAUGGGAUGCCAUAAGCAGGUCUCCGAUCAUUACCCUGCUGGCAAGAAGUCACCUUUCAUAUUACACGAAUAUUAUGUACAAAUAUAGGAUUGAAGUGCACUGCAGAAGGGCAGCAGAGUUUAUUUGACAUGUUGCACAUGCAAUGUCAUCUGGGCCAGAGGCAUUACAGCAAAGAUUUGGCAUAAUGGUCUGUGUUUGCAAAAUGGUUAUGCAAGCAUAGAAAGCAUUAUUGCUGAUAGGGUGAGCCGUAUCAGAUCUAAGUACGUUCCCCGAACAAACGGGAUGCGCAAUCGACGUUAGACUUUCAGAACCGAGCGAAAAGACAGAAAUCCCUGCUCCGAAUAUUAACGCUUACAGUCCAUCAUCCUUACUUAGCGUUCCAUGCACCGCGGAGCUAACUCUUCAUCCGUUUCCUUCCUUACAAUGCACAUCCGUCAGGGCCAGAGUCUUUGUGGCAAUCUUUCAUAUUCAGCACGCAAUGAACCCUUCAUGGACACCAGCUGCAUUAGCCUGGCUUGUCGUCCUUGCGGCAGCCUGGGCAAAUGGCCCAACGCGAUCUAAGUAUGCUGCUGCUUGCGGCCAAGAAACAAGCAUUCCAGAACUGUCAUAUCAUCCCCUGGUUUCGUUGUAUUUGGUUUGCAUACAAGUCGACGCGGAUACUACCUGCUGUGACCGCCGUAUCAGAAGACACUUUUCCUGUACGGGCGGAACCAACAACAGCGAAGUUCAAAAAACCCGACUAGUAGCUAAAAUUCAGCAUUCAUAGAGUUAAACGUCCCCGUCCGUGACUUGUACAUAACAAUCCAAGCAUCUCCUAAGCGUCUUUCUCCCCCUUCGUAAAGCCAUCGCGUCCACCAACGCACGUCUUACAUCCGCCCAGUACAGUGCCGUUGAAGCUGUGACGAGUAAUAUGAACGCUUAAGUAAUUCAUGAACAUCCGCUACGUUUGCCUAGCAUUGUCGUAAAGGAGGUCGCGUCGGCAUCAGGCCAUCAACGUUGCGCCCAGGACAACACUUGCUGCAGCCAAGAAACAGAAAGUGUAUAUGUAUUCGUUCAUCCCCUUGGUCUUAGGGUUGCCCCUAAGACGACGUAGAUACCACCUCCUGACACCGCCGUACCGGAAAGCACUUUUCCGGUACGGGCAGAGCCAGCAGCAUUCCAGGUUCAGAAUUGAACCCAAAGGCAGAAAUCACCAUUCUGAGACCCUAUGGCAGUCCGGAGACGUGUAACUCGUCAGGCUCAGUAGCUACGGGGCAGUUGUCUGGACAGGUUACUCGCCAGCUAGAAGCUUGGUAAAUGUGCAACCUUGAAAGUGUCAUAAUUAUGCACAGAUAUGCGCGCUGAGUGUGUGAAAUGUUAUGACGAGGUUAGUUAAAAUGUUUGCCAUCCAAUUUGAGUGUGGGGAGGCAUUAUUUGUCCUGACGAUUUGCUCUCUACCUACGGCCAUUUGGCAGUCCAGAGACGUGUAGCGCCCAAGGCUCAGCAGCUACGGGACAGUUGUCUGGACGAGGUUAUUUUUGACGUGCAGUCCCGAAAGCACAUUGGGAAGCAUGAAUAUAGCCGUUGAAUUCAUCAUAAGUGAAAUUUAGGUUACUUCCGGUGUUUGCCACCUGUAUUGGUGCUCCGAUGUAACAUGACAAUUGGUAGUCAUGGUCAUGGCGCAAAGGAACGCCGAUUGUUGCAGCACAAAGUAGAAUAUAGCUCAUGAACAAAUAAGUACAUAGGCAAGGUUACCCGAGGCCGACAUUGAUCGACCUUGUCGACCAGGUCCGCCAAUGUAGUGGGUCCACGCCACAAUAUCCGAAAGUCGGCUGAAAUCAUUUAAAUCCUUGUCAAGUUUACUGAACAAAAUUACGACCGAUGAGGUUUCCGAGCCAUUGGCUGACAUAACCGCUCAUGUACGGCUUUGGCUAUUAUGGCUUCAAUGUCCUCUCCAUCAAACAAAUAUCUUCAUUACGAAAGACCAAAGCACGUAGCCAUAACUCCCAACUCAGUCAAACACGAUAUGGGCCAAGUAUUGUUGCUAAUCGGCCGCGGAACCGCUUCAAGUGAGAAGGAAACCGCUUCAAGUGAGAAGGAAUUCGGAAUAGCUUCAAUUGGGAUAAGGGAUUUGUGUUAUAUUUUACUAUGCCUUGUAGCAACGUUAAAAUAGAACUCACCGCCACUCACUGUCGCUGAACUAACUUUAGUUACUCUUGGCUGACAUCCAGCCGGGAAUGGAGGCGGGUGGCCACCGUGAGGAGGAAUUGGGCUCGCUUGGAGAGGUGAUAUGGGCGGGAGGCGCGGGGCUCUUAUGUGUUUUAUGUGGGGCGUUAAAAAGCUGUCGUACUCCGAUAUGGCUAUCGGAAUACAGCAGUUUUUUUAUGUAGGCAGGUAGUUGUGGGGCACAGCUGUGCCAGGGUCGUUUUUCUUUGUGGAUUUGUUACCCCUUGCCCUCUUCCUUGUUCCUGAUGCUAUGGAGGGUGGCUGGGGCUGGUUGGGGGAGGGGUGUGUGUAUGUUUCGCCUCCGUCAUCGACGUGCCUGCCCUAAUUGACGUGCCUGCCCGAAUUGACGUGCCUGCCCUAAUUCUCAUGUUCCCAUCCACGUGCUGCACGUGCAGCAGGCCUCGGACGAUGGGGAUGACGUCCAGCCGGGAAUGGAGGUAAGAUGGGGAGGAGGGUCAGGGCUCUUAUGUGUUUUACGUGGGGCAUCAAAACACUGUCGUACUCCGAUAUGGCUAUCGGAGUACGGCAGAUUUGUUUGAUGCAGGCAGGUAGUUGUGGGGCACAGCUGUGCCAGGGUCGUUUUUCUUUGUGGAUUCGUUACCCCUUGCCCUCUNNNNNNNNNNNNNNNNNNNNNNNNNNNNNNNNNNNNNNNNNNNNNNNNNNNNNNNNNNNNNNNNNNNNNUUUGGUUUGCAUACAGUCGACGCGGAUACUACCUGCUGUGACCGCCGUAUCAGAAGACACUUUUCCUGUACGGGCGGAACCAACAACAGCGAAGUUCAAAAAACCCGACUAGUAGCUAAAACUCAGCAUUCAUAGAGUUAAACGUCCCCGUCCGUGACUUGUACAUAACAAUCCAAGCAUCUCCUAAGCGUCUUUCUCCCCCUUCGUAAGGCCAUCGCGUCCACCAACGCACGUCUUACAUCCGUUGAAGCUGCGAUGAGUAAUAUGAACGCUGAAGUAAUUCAUGAACAUCCGCUGCGUUUGCCUAGCAGUGUCGUAAAGGAGGUCGCGUCGGCAUCAGGCCAUCAACGUUGCGCCCAGGACAACACUUGCUGCAGCCAAGAAACAGAAAGUAUAUCUCUAUUCGUUCAUCCCCUUGGUCUUAGGGUUGCCCCUAAGACGACGUAGAUACCACCUCCUGACACCGCCGUACCGGAAAGCACUUUUCCGGUACGGGCAGAGCCAGCAGCAUUCCAGGUUCAGAAUUGAACCCAAAGGCAGAAAUCACCAUUCUGAGAGUUGAACGUCGCCAUCCAUGAUUUAGACAUACCAUUCCAUGGCCUGUGCAUGCGCGUCCGUGUCCUUCACUACGUUGCCAUCACGUCCACCAACGCACACUUGACAUCCGUCCUGUCCAGAGCCGUCGUCGCGAGCUUCGACAACAUGAAUGUAAGCAACAUUCGGAACAUCCGUCCUGUUUGCAUGGGAUUGUUGUCCUCCCGCCGGCGGAGGGCCACUCAACGUAUUGCUUUAGAAUUCCUACCCAAGCCUAUAACACAAACAUAAUAACAUUGUCCUAGCAUUCCAUAGCCCUACUUGACUUGCCUACAAACGAGUUGCCCCGGUCGGACCCUCCAAGUCUAGCCCAGUAGCUUACUGUGGGCUGACGUUAGUGAACAUGGAAUGCAAGCUGUGUGUGUGCUCAUCCCCUUUGAAAAAGGUUUGACUACGACUUGACACACAGACUCCCUCCUGCAACAAAUGUACAUUUUCCGUACGAGCGUGACGAGCAACAUAAGAGAUCCAGAACCGACCACACCGGCAGAAUUCAUCGUUCAGUUCCUUAAACCUUCAUUUACGGUUUCCCUACAAACAGCUCCAUGCCUUGGAUAUGCGUCUGUUUUCUUCCUUACGAACAUCACAUUUUACGUUCGUCAGGGCCAGAGUCUUUGUGGCAAUCUUUCAUAUUCAGCACGCAAUGAACCCUUCAUGGACACCAGCUGCAUUAGCCUGGCUUGUCGUCCUUGCGGCAGCCUGGGCAAAUGGCCCAACGCGAUUUAAGUAUGCUGCUGCUUGCGGCCAAGAAACAAGCAUUCCAAAACUGUCAUAUCAUCCCCUGGUUUCGUUGUAUUUGGUUUGCAUACAAGUCGACGCGGAUACUACCUGCUGUGACCGCCGUAUCAGAAGACACUUUUCCUGUACGGGCGGAACCAACAACAGCGAAGUUCAAAAAACCCGACUAGUAGCUAAAAGUCAGCAUUCAUAGAGUUAAACGUCCCCGUCUGUGACUUGUACAUAACAAUCCAAGCAUCUCCUAAGCGUCUUUCUCCCCCUUCGUAAGGCCAUCGCGUCCACCAACGCACGUCUUACAUCCGCCCAGUACAGUGCCGUUGAAGCUGUGACGAGUAAUAUGAACGCUUAAGUAAUUCAUGAACAUCCGCUGCGUUUGCCUAGCAUUGUCGUAAAGGAGGUCGCGUCGGCAUCAGGCCAUCAACGUUGCGCCCAGGACAACACUUGCUGCAGCCAAGAAACAGAAAGUAUAUCUCUAUUCGUUCAUCCCCUUGGUCUUAGGGUUGCCCCUAAGACGACGUAGAUACCACCUCCUGACACCGCCGUACCGGAAAGCACUUUUCCGGUACGGGCAGAGCCAGCAGCAUUCCAGGUUCAGAAUUGAACCCAGAGGCAGAAAUCACCAUUCUGAGAGUUGAACGUCGCCAUCCAUGAUUUAGACAUACCAUUCCAUGGCCUGUGCAUGCGCGUCCGUGUCCUUCACUACAUUGCUGCUUGCGGCCAAGAAACAAGUGAUGCAAAACGUUGCCUCAUGUCCAUCCGUCCGGUCCACACACGUAAGAGCAAUUUUCCAUAACACGGAUGUAAGCACCGUUCGGGAUGUCCGUCGUGUUUGCCUCAGGAAGUCGUCCUCCCGGCGGCGGAUCGGACCCUAAGCACCGGCCGGUACCAGCUGGUACCAGCUCCUGGAGCCGCUUAAUCGAUGCUGAUCGUGAUGUGUAAUUGGUCCAGCAUAAAGCACAUUCUUCAUCAUCCGGAAGGGAUCCCUUAGCCGUAGUACAUGUAAAGGAUGCGCAGGACAAGCAGUGUAAGAGGUACUCGGAAAAGAACGCAAAAAAGACUGUUCCGUCCAAAUAGCUAACAAGCUGUACCUUGGCGGAUUGCAGGGCGCUUCUAACAUACAUGCCAUCCUUUGGAAGUCAUGUUGUAGGCUUGUCCUGUUUGGUUUAUGUUGGCAUUGCAUUAAGAAGUUCAACGUGAUACCUGCAGGUUAACUGUUUACUGAUAACUACUUAUUCGGCGGCGUGCGCAUAUCAUUCCCUUACUUCGCCGGCAGGUCCAUGGAAAGUCCCCGAAAAGAUUACAUAACGUUGCAAAACUCCUUUCAGUGCUUUCGGAAAAGAGGUCCUAGAUCUUGAGACCCUGGUAAGCCAGAAAUCGCUGACGGCUAGCGCUGUAAGCGUACCUUUUCCAUCUCCUGUAUUUUCAAAGCAUACACACGCGCGAUACUUAAGAAUACGAAAAUUUUAAACAGUUUAACAGUUCAUGUGGAAGCGUUUGCGGUGCAACUGGCGCGAACAGGACACCAGAGGUCACAGGAAUUACAGCUCUUAUGACUACUAGCAGUAUGUGUGCGUGGUUGUUACAGCAGUAGAUCUUAGGGACGAGGGGUACCUGACGGCAAUGCAUGGGCUCCAUCGAUGCAUGUGCCUCGGCAUGAAGGGUGAAUACAAUACGUUUCAUAUGCACAGACCUCAUAGUUUGCAGCAUUUAAGGGAGGUCAAAUNNNNNNNNNNNNNNNNNNNNNNNNNNNNNNNNNNNNNNNNNNNNNNNNNNUUGCCUAGCAGUGUCGUAAAGGAGGUCGCGUCGGCAUCAGCCCAUCAACGUUGCGCCCAGGACAACACUUGCUGCAGCCAAGAAACAGAAAGUGUAUAUGUAUUCGUUCAUCCCCUUGGUCUUAGGGUUGCCCCUCAGACGACGUAGAUACCACCUCCUGGCACCGCCGUACCGGAAAGCACUUUUCCGGUACGGGCAGAGCCAGCAGCAUUCCAGGUUCAGAAUUGAACCCAAAGGCAGAAAUCACCAUUCUGAGAGUUGAACGUCGCCAUCCAUGAUUUAGACAUACCAUUCCAUGGCCUGUGCAUGCGCGUCCGUGUCCUUCACUACGUUGCCAUCACGUCCACCAACGCACACUUGACAUCCGUCCUGUCCGGAGCCGUCGUCGCGAGCUUCGACAACAUGAAUGUAAGCAACAUUCGGAACAUCCGUCCUGUUUGCAUGGGAUUGUCGUCCUCCCGCCGGCGGAAAAGCCACUCAACGUAUUGCUUAAGAAUUCCUACCCAAGCCUAUAACACAAACAUAAUAACAUUGUCCUAGCAUUCCAUAGCCCUACUUGACUUGCCUACAAGUCCACAGCAACGAGUUGCCCCGGUCGGACCCUCCAAGUCUAGCCCAGUAGCUUACUGUGGGCUGACGUUAGUGAACAUGGAAUGCAAGCUGUGUGUGUGCUCAUCCCCUUUGAAAAAGGUUCGACUACGACUUGACACACAGACUCCCUCCUGCAACAAAUGCCCAUUUUCUGUACGAGCGUGACGAGCAACAUAAGAGAUCCAGAACCGACCACAC
rnacentral:lncRNA from 1 species